rnacentral:misc_RNA from 2 species
AACGCACAUUGCGCCCAUUGGUAUUCCGAUGGGCAUGUCUGUUUGAGCGUCAUUACAAACCCUCGGUCGCAGGUCUUGUUGCCUGUGACCGGUCUUGGGUCAUGCCGCAGCCCUAACCGGCCCGGCUGGCUUUAAAUUGGCAGCUCUGCGGUUGAAAGCCUAGGAAGAACAUGAUAAAUUUUAUAUUUGUUCUGCUUCGAAAGCUGGAAGUCCGCCUGAAUAACAAACCAAACCUUUUAAGUUUGACCUCAGAUCAGAUAAGGAUACCCGCUGAACUUAA